rnacentral:rRNA from 1 species
CCUACGGGCGGCAGCAGUGGGGAAUAUUGCGCAAUGGGCGAAAGCCUGACGCAGCGACGCCGCGUGAGGGAUGAAGGUCUUCGGAUCGUAAACCUCUGUCAGCAGGGAAGAACGGUCACUGUGCUAAUCAGCAGUGAAUUGACGGUACCUGCAAAGGAAGCACCGGCUAACUCCGUGCCAGCAGCCGCGGUAAUACGGAGGGUGCGAGCGUUAAUCGGAAUUACUGGGCGUAAAGCGCUCGUAGGCGGUAUGUCAAGUCAAGGGUGAAAUCCCCGCGCUCAACGUGGGAACUGCCUUUGAAACUGGCAAACUGGAGUGUGUGAGAGGAUAGUGGAAUUCCAGGUGUAGGAGUGAAAUGCGUAGAUAUCUGGAGGAACAUCAGUGGCGAAGGCGACUAUCUGGCACAUAACUGACGCUGAGGAGCGAAAGCGUGGGUAGCAAACAGGAUUAGAUACCCGGGUAGUC